UUGCAGCCAUAUCAUGUUGAAACAUCAGUUCUCAUACGAUCACUGAAGUUAAGCCAUGUCGAGCCUGGUCACUACCUAGAUGGUUGACCACUUGAGAGCACCAGGUGCUGUAAG